rnacentral:rRNA from 1 species
CCUACGGGAGGCAGCAGUAGGGAAUAUUGGGCAAUGGGCGAAAGCCUGACCCAGCCACGCCGCGUGCAGGAAGACGGCCCUCUGGGUUGUAAACUGCUUUUGACUGGGAAGAAAGAAGCUCAUGCGUGAGAAGUUGACGGUACCAGUCGAAUAAGCCACGGCUAACUACGUGCCAGCAGCCGCGGUAAUACGUAGGUGGCAAGCGUUAUCCGGAUUUAUUGGGUUUAAAGGGAGCGUAGGCGGCUUAAUAAGUCAGUGGUUAAAGGUAGCAGCUUAACUGUUUUACAUGCCACUGAUACUGUUGAGCUUGAGUUGACAGAAGGCAGAUAGAAUUUCUGGUGUAGCGGUGAAAUGCUUAGAUACCAGAAGGAAUACCGAUUGCGAAGGCAGUCUGCUGCAGUCACACUGACGCUGAGGCUCGAAGGUGCGGGGAUCAAACAGGAUUAGAUACCCUGGUAGUCCGCACAGUAAACGAUGAUUACUAGAUGUUGGCCAAGCCAGUGUCCAAGGGAAACCGAUAAGUAAUCCACCUGGGGAGUACGCCGGCAACGGUGAAACUCAAAGGAAUUGACGGCGUGAGAGAGCGACGGACGACACGAGGGAGGAGG